UUUAAACAGUAAUGCACAGCCUAUCACAACUACAAGUAUGAUUUGUAUAUAUAUAUAUAUAUAUAAUUUAAUAUUUUAAUAGUUUAUAUAACGGAUGAUAAUCACCUAUGAUUUUUGAAUUGUAGUGUUUAAGGUCGAAAAAAAUGUAUUGCGUGAAAAUGACAACAACGGGUUUGGUGAUGACAACGACGAUGUAUGUCUAGAAGCGUCGGACUGCAGGUUAAAAGCGGCUUAUUUGAAAGUCGGACAAGAAUGAUUGAAAUAGCCAAUUAUAUUCAUGUGGAGAAUAUACCGCCUGGCUCUUCGAAUCAAGUUAUGUAUAAUAGGUUCUAUUGUUUACGUCAUUUUAGACUUAAAAAUAAUUUAUAUAUAUUUACAAUUUAAGACAAUAAACGUAAACAUACAGAAAAUACAUAAUAUACCGCUACGAAAUCAAAAAAAGUAAGGCUUCAAAAAGUUAAUACAUUAGGAUUCAUACAAAUUCAAUCGACACACUGCAACCUUGAAGUCGUAUGGUAGGUAUUACUAUAAAAAUCUGAAUAAUAAACAGAAUUAUCCAGAGUGCUUCGAGUCCGUAAAAUCCGCAUUACUAGAAACCACUAAUAAAUAUAGUAUGCCAAUUAGAUUUAAUUUAAAACUAGAAUAACUUAUUAUCAGUUAUCACCCAAACGUUGAAAACUCAUCAGAAAAUCGGACAUUUACAACUACAGCUAGAGAAGUGUACGAGCCAUCAAAUAUCGAUACAAUAGUUGACGAAUCGCUUAAGAAAUUAUUAACAGGAGAAGAAACGAAUUGCGAAAUGGGUUCGCUCUGCAAUCUUUUGAUGUUUUACUGCUGGGUGUUUACAACUUACAAGUAUACACCGUAGUCACGUUCCUCACAUACAAAACGAACUACUUUUUUCGUCGACAAACGGGCUAUAAUCAAUCCUGAAAAUACAUACCAACAAUGUUAUGGCUAUAUUGACAAACACGUAGCGUCGUAGCUGGAGAAAAUAAAUGCAGUGUCGGUAAAAAUUAUACUGAUCAUGAGGAUAAAUCCUCUUAUAGUUUUGAAGAAGGUAUUUUGUUUCCAACACCGCUGACAGAUAUUUCUGAGUUUGAAAAAAAUAACCGAAACGUGUUUGUGAAUGUUUCAACCGUCAUCCGUCUAUUCUUAGUAGUAAUUCAAUACCAUGAAAUAUGAAUCAAAGAUAGUUGAUUCCAUUAGUUGUUCGAUCGUGUUCUCGUGUCAGUGACAAAUGACAAUACUAGCUGAUAUUGACUAAUUUUAUUUUAUUAUUCUUUCUAUUUUUCUACAUAAUACCAACAAUUUACUAGUGUGGUGUAAAGUAAUUUAUAUUUAAUUUGUGUAUGGACAUAAUAUUACUUGUUUAAAUAUGUUUAGUAUAUUUAAAUGUAAUAAAACAAAUAGAGAACUAACAAGCGGAUUACAAAAUUAAGAUAUAAUUAAUAAGUUUGCUAAAAAAUCAA